rnacentral:rRNA from 1 species
AUUGAACGCUGGCGGCAGGCCUAACACAUGCAAGUCGAGCGCAUGAAGGGAGCUUGCUCCUGGAUUCAGCGGCGGACGGGUGAGUAAUGCCUAGGAAUCUGCCUGGUAGUGGGGGAUAACGUCCGGAAACGGGCGCUAAUACCGCAUCCGUCCUGAGGGAGAAAGUGGGGGUUCUUCGGACAUCACGCUAUCAGAUGAGCCUAGGUCGGAUUAGCUAGUUGGUGGGGUAAAGUCCUACCAAGGCGACGAUCCGUAACUGGUCUGAGAGGAUGAUCGGUCACACUGGAACUGAGACACGGUCCAGACUCCUACGGGAGGCAGCAGUGGGGAAUAUUGGACAAUGGGCGAAAGCCUGAUGCGGCAAUGCGGCGUGUGUGAGGAAGGUCUUCGGAUUGUAAAGCACUUUGAGUUGGGAGGAAGAGCAGUAAAUUAAAACCUUGCUGUUUUGACGGUACCUACAGAGAAAGCACCGGCUAACUUCGUG